rnacentral:rRNA from 1 species
UACGUAGGGCGCAAGCGUUAUCCGGAAUUAUUGGGCGUAAAGAGCUCGUAGGCGGUUUGUCGCGUCUGCCGUGAAAGUCCGGGGGCUCAACUCCGGAUCUGCGGUGGGUACGGGCAGACUAGAGUGAUGUAGGGGAGACUGGAAUUCCUGGUGUAGCGGUGAAAUGCGCAGAUAUCAGGAGGAACACCGAUGGCGAAGGCAGGUCUCUGGGCAUUAACUGACGCUGAGGAGCGAAAGCAUGGGGGGGCGAACAGG